AACGAACGCUGGCGGCAUGCCUAACACAUGCAAGUCGAACGCGUGUAGCAAUACACGAGUGGCGAACGGGGGAGUAACGCGUGGGAACCUGCCUAGUGGUAGGGAAUAACUGCGGGACACUGCAGCUAAUACCCUAUGAGCCCUACGGGGGAAAGAUUUAUCGCCAUUAGAGGGGCCCGCGUCGGAUUAGCUUGUUGGUGAGGUAACGGCUCACCAAGGCGACGAUCCGUAGCUGGUCUGAGAGGAUGAUCAGCCACACUGGGACUGAGAUACGGCCCAGACUCCUACGGGAGGCAGCAGUGGGGAAUAUUGGACAAUGGGGGCAACCCUGAUCCAGCAAUGCCGCGUGAGUGAAGAAGGCCUUAGGGUUGUAAAGCUCUUUCGGCGGGGAAGAUGAUGACGGUACCCGCAGAAGAAGCCCCGGCUAACUUCGUGCCAGCAGCCGCGGUAAGAC
rnacentral:rRNA from 1 species